rnacentral:lncRNA from 1 species
AGGUAUUUUUACCCUUUUCAUUCACUACAGCAUCUUAGCUGCUAGGACAAUGUUUGUCACCUAAUAAACACUCAAUAAAUAUUUAUCAAAGACAUGAACAAAUAUGUCCAGAAUUGUGGUGACAUAUGUUACUCAGGUCUGAUAUCUUUCCACUAAUGGAGGAAGCAAUUUCCCUGGCUCUGCCAAUCACUUGUUUAGGCACAUAUUCAUCACAGUUUCAGGGCGUGGACAAUAGAUAAUUAUUAGCAACAUUAUUUCUUAAGUUUACAAAUAACUAACAAUGUAGAAUUUUCAAAAUGAAAAUAUCAAAUUCAUGGAUUCUCUGAGCAGGGGAUAUAAAAUGGAAGCAAUAGUAAUGAAAUAGAGUUAAGCAGACUCAAUAGGUUGUAUUUAUUAUACAACAAAUUAUACAUAUUUAUUAAAUUGUCUUUAUGAUAUAAUAAAUUAUAUGUUUAUUAGCUUGUAUUUAUUAAAUAAUAAAUUCACUGCAUUUAUUAAAUUAAUUGUAUAAUAAUCUAAUUUUUAUUUGAAUCCUUCACCCAUCUGGAAUAUUUGUUUGAAUACAGUGUGGGACAGAGGAUUUGACUGAUGUAUAUUCACAUGGGUGGCCGGCUAUUCUUUGGUAAAAAUUAUGCUAUUUGCAGUGUAGUGGUUUUGUGACCAAUUUUUAAUUCCAUUAAACCAGUCCUCCCUCCCUAUUUUCUUCAUUACUUUUGGCAAUUCCCAAAUAUUUAGUUUUUUUAAUAUGAAAUUUGAGAUUGUUUUCUCCAUUCAAAAAUUCCAUAACAUUUGUAGUUUGUUUUGAAACGGAGUUUCACUCUUGUCGCCCAGGCUGGAGUGCAAUGGCCCAACCUCAGCUCAUUUCAACCUCCACCUCCUGGGUUCAAGUGCUUCUCCUGCCUCAGCCUCCUGAGUAGCUGGGAUUACAGGCAUGCACCACCAUACCCAGCUAAUUUUGUAUUUUUAGUAGAGAUGGGGUUUCUCCAUGUUGGUCAGGCUGGUUUUGAACUCCUGACUUCAGGUGAUCCACCAGCCUCAGCCUCCCAAAGAGCUAAUUUUUGUAUUUUUAGUAGAGAUGGGGUUUCGACAUGUUGGCCAGGCUGGUCUCAAACUCCUGACCUCAAGUGAUUCAUCUGACUUGGCCUCCCAAAGUGCUGGGAUUACAAGCAUCCAAAUCCUCCAUAUUCCCAUUGAGAACUAGUGGCAUACAGCAAAGUGCUAGACACUGAAUUUGUCAUUGAAAUCCAUAGCUUUAGGUAACCACCACCACAGUCAAGAUACCAUCACCACAAGACUCCUUGUGCCAUCACCACAAGACUCCUCCAUUCUACUGCUUAAUAGCCAUAUUAACUCCUGCUUCCAUAUCCUAAUCACCAGCAAUCAUUAAUUUGUCUUUCCACUCUGUAAUUAUGUUAUUUCAUAAAUGUUAUAUGAUGGAAUUCCCUCUUGGAGAUUACAAGUCCUUUAAUUAUUUAAAUUGGACUGAGUAUUCAAAUUCUUCUUUCAGUCAAGUUGAGCUGAUGCUAUUCCUUAGCUUUAGUUGCAUGAGUUUCUCCCGUUAUGUUUCUGACACCCAACUUACACACCUGCCUUUUGAAUGUAAUCACUUUUGUAAAUGUGACACUUUUAAAGACAAUCUUUUUUAUUGUUGUGCCUUGAAUUCUGAUCAUAAUAUCAUUGUUAAUAGAAUUUAGUUAUUUUCUUUUCGUUAGCAUUUGCUAGAAUCUUUUUUUUUUUCUAUUUCUUUAUUUUUCACAAUCUGGUGUCACUUUGUUCUAGGCAUGGAUCUAGUAAAUAAAAUGCAGCUUGAUUUUUAACUAUAAAGAGCUAAGAUAAUUUAACAAAAAUUAAUUCAUUAUUAUUGUUUAUUUAUUUGAACUUAGUCCUGCCAUCUAAUAUGGUGUUCUAUAUAUAUGAUAUUCUUUCUCUUUUUUUAAAAAAAAUUCUAUCUAUUAUUUGUCUUUGUUCCAGUUACUUACCUAUAAAUAUAGAAGUUUUAAAGUUUCUUUCAAGAAUAAUAAUUUCCUUUAAACUUUUAAUACUCAUGCAGGAUACGAUUUUUAACAGCAUUUAGAUUUAAUCUGUUCUCAGUCUCUCUCAUAUACUUAGCUUGCCAUCUUGAAGCCAGAUGUCUUUCUCAGAUAUGUGAGGUCAUGCUUCACUGAACUUUUGGGGAGAUACAUUUUAUUCAUAUGUCAGCAAUCACUUAUGCUUUCAAAAUUUCUCUUUUCCAACUCUGGAUUUCAGUUCCCAAUGCUUUGCUGAAUUCAUACUCUGGUUUCUGACCCAGUAAAAAUGACAAUGAGAUACACGGGAAAUUUCCCAUGAACCUAGAGGGAAAGAGACUUGGGGCCAAAACUAUGGUGAUUGAAAAGAAGGAAAGAAAAUUAGUCACUAGUUUGUUUUGCACACAAGUUUCUGGGUUAAGAU